rnacentral:rRNA from 1 species
GGUGAACGCUGGCGGCGUGCCUAAGACAUGCAAGUCGAGCGGGCCGCGGGGUUUUACUCCGUGGUCAGCGGCGGACGGGUGAGUAACGCGUGGGUGACCUACCCGGAAGAGGGGGACAACCCGGGGAAACUCGGGCUAAUCCCCCAUGUGGACCCGCCCCUUGGGGUGUGUCCAAAGGGCUUUUCCCGCUUCGGGAUGGGCCCGUGUCCCAUCAGCUAGUUGGUGGGGGAAUGGCCCACCAAGGCGACGGCGGGUAGCCGGACUGAGCGGGUGGGCGGCGAGAGGGGAACCGAGACACGGGCCCAACUCCCACGGGAGGCAGCAGGUAGGAAGCUUCAAGAAUGGGCGCAAGCCUGACGGAGGGACGCCGAUUGGAGGAAGAAGCCAUUCGGGGUGUAAACUAAUGAAACCGGGACGAAACACCCGACGAGGGGACUGAGGGUACCGGGGGAAUAGCGCCGGCCAACUCCGUG